rnacentral:rRNA from 1 species
UACGAAGGGGGCUAGCGUUGCUCGGAAUCACUGGGCGUAAAGCGCACGUAGGCGGCUUUUUAAGUCAGAGGUGAAAUCCUGGAGCUCAACUCCAGAACUGCCUUUGAUACUGGAGAGCUUGAGUCCGGGAGAGGUGAGUGGAACUGCGAGUGUAGAGGUGAAAUUCGUAGAUAUUCGCAAGAACACCAGUGGCGAAGGCGGCUCACUGGCCCGGUACUGACGCUGAGGUGCGAAAGCCAGGGGAGCAAACGGG